rnacentral:rRNA from 1 species
UGCGUAACGCGUAUGCAACCUACCUUUAACAGGGGGAUAACACUGAGAAAUUGGUACUAAUACCCCAUAAUAUCAUAGAAGGCAUCUUUUAUGGUUGAAAAUUCCGAUGGUAGAGAUGGGCAUGCGUUGUAUUAGCUAGUUGGUGGGGUAACGGCUCACCAAGGCGACGAUACAUAGGGGGACUGAGAGGUUAACCCCCCACACUGGUACUGAGACACGGACCAGACUCCUACGGGAGGCAGCAGUGAGGAAUAUUGGUCAAUGGACGCAAGUCUGAACCAGCCAUGCCGCGUGCAGGAUGACGGCUCUAUGAGUUGUAAACUGCUUUUGUACGAGGGUAAACGCAGAUACGUGUAUCUGUCUGA